rnacentral:rRNA from 1 species
ACGCUCGACACCUACGGGAUGCAGCAGUGGGGAAUAUUGCACAAUGGGGGAAACCCUGAUGCAGCAACGCCGCGUGAAGGAAGACGGUUUUCGGAUUGUAAACUUCUGUUCUUAGUGAAGAUAGUGACGGUAGCUAAGGAGCAAGCCACGGCUAACUACGUGUCAGCAGCCGCGGUAAUCUGAGCGGGCUGGCAAGGC